rnacentral:rRNA from 1 species
AUACGGAGGGUGCGAGCGUUAAUCGGAAUUACUGGGCGUAAAGCGCGCGUAGGCGGUUUGUUAAGUCGGAUGUGAAAUCUCCGGGCUCAACCUGGGACCUGCAUCCGAUACUGGCAGGCUAGAGUCUGGUAGAGGGGGGUAGAAUUCCUGGUGUAGCGGUGAAAUGCGUAGAUAUCAGGAGGAAUACCAGUGGCGAAGGCGGCCCCCUGGACUGAGACUGACGCUGAGGUGCGAAAGCGUGGGGAGCAAACAGGAUUAGAAACCCUAGUAGUCC